AUGAGGAGCGGCGGAUCACCUCAGCCGACGGUCAACAAGAAGUCGUCGCAGCGGCCCUCCAGCAGCAAGGCCAGCGGCGGCGAAGCACGCCCGGCGCCCAAGAGGGAGUCCGGCGGGCUGAAGAGGAAGGAGGCGCCGGCGGGCCGCGUGGAGGCGCGCGCCACGAAGAGCAAGUGGGAGGACGGCGGCUCCAGGCCGGCCGGGAAGGAGGCGGCGCUCGGCAUUGCCGACGACACGGUGGUCGUCGAGAUGGACACGCACGGCCACUACUAUGGCGACAAGGAGUUCCCGUACGACGACAAGUUCAUGGCGAAGGCCAGAGAUCGGUACGACAAGCACAUCCAGGAGCGCACGGACCGCAAGCCGUUCGUCCUCAAGUUCCAGGACGACUACGUCGAUUUCGGCAAUGGGGACGAGUCCGACUGA
rnacentral:rRNA from 1 species